GGGCCUAUAGCUCAGUCGGUAGAGCAGCGGACUUUUAAUCCGUAGGUCGAGGGUUCGAGCCCCUCUGGGCCCACCC
rnacentral:tRNA from 1 species